AGCACACUCACAGGGCUCCCAAAGACUCUCCAGGAGUGCAUCUAUGCUCUGUGAGCCACCUGGAGGUGAUAUAAACUGCACUGGGGGCAAAAGGUUGCUGCCAAGUUACAACGUCGCUGGCUCACACAUACUAUAAAAAUUCAUCCACAGACAUCACCAUAUCUUCUGAUUUAGAGUCCAGAUGGCGGCUUAUCGGUACGUCAUAAAAACAUCUGAUUAUACGAUCAAAUUUAUCUCAUUGGACACCUCCCCUUUCCUUUCUUUCUUCCUCUCUCUCUUGCUCUUGUGCUGCUAGUUACAAUACAAUUUCACAUUUAGCCUGACAGACAAGCUGGAACAGCAUGAAGUCAUUGUGAUUAGCCGGGAGCCUGCAUGAAGACAAGAUGCUUGUCAGUGGAGGCAGAUGACAUCAUGGCUGAAAACGUUUAUUAGGUGUGACUGCCAAGCGCUAGUGGAGAAGUACAAGUGAUUCAGGACUAUAUGCUACUCUGUAGUACACUCUGUAAACUUGUCAGGUACUGUAUGGUAGAAAAGAAAGCAAUAAAAAAAAAAUACAUUUCACUUCUAAAUGCAAACAUUUAUACCACAUAAUUGUGAUUUGCCAUAAAAUCUUUCCUCAAGAUUACCAAGAUUACAGCUUGUGACAAUCUAAGGAAGGCAUCUGUUGUUUGUAUGCCAAAGUAAGAUGAAACCACAUGUUGAUAAAGUAUAAUGACCACCUGACACUUUGAACUCUAAAAACCUGUUUUAAUAGGGGAAGCUGUGGCGAUAAGAUUUGGACGUGUUGAUGAGUAAUGAGAGACACUUUCGUAAGAUCUGGCUUGCUCAGUGUGUAUGUAAAGUGCAGAUCAGAAUCAACUAGAGCGUUAGUGAAAAACUUUGGAUUCUUAUAUAUUGUCAGCAAUAACUUGAGUAUGAAGUUGAAUCUUAUUUUAAUAAAGCAUGGACUCAUUCACAGGUUUUUAUAAAACCUGAUGUUCCAUUUCAGAUGAAUUCCAAUGAAAUGUAUAUUUAAAUGGAAGGAAAAUCUGACCUUUUGUGUUAAUAUGAUCAAUAAACGUGCUUCCAUUUGAAAUAAUUUAUAUGAACAAUUUAAAAUUUAAAAUGCUAUAAAAAUGACAUGAAUUUUGACUACUGAAUUUUCAAAUAUUGAAAGUUUAAAUAUUAAUACUUACUGUUUAUUUCAAUUUUACACAUUUAAUGUGGUGUUGGAUGCUUGCCUUUUACUGUAUGAUGCAUUAAGUACCACAUGAUCCCAUCACUGUACUAUUUUACUGCACUUUUUGGUUUAUUUCUCUGUGCCCCAUCUCAUUACCUCAUUAUCCAUUUUGUUUUCUGUAUAUAUCCCUAUUUAAAUGUUCCAAGCUGCUAUGACAACUUAAUUUCUCUCUGUGGAUUAAUAGUUAUUCUAUUCUAUUCUAUUCUAUUCUAUUCUAUUCUAUUCUAUUCUAUUCUAUUCUAUCAUCUAAUUUCAUAUGCCACUGCCACAUUCUUUUAGUCUCACUGAGCAAAGGUGAAGGUAUUAUAUAUAAUAAUUUAUAAGUGUGUUACUGUGGCUAAGCAAAAGGUCUGUUGUAGGAGCUGGCAUAGUGAAGUGUGUGUUUGUGUGUAUGUGUGUGUGUGUCUGGUUUUUCUGUAUCGAUGGUAAGUAGUUGCACUGUCAGUUAUGGCAUGACUGCAUUUUUUUGGCCAGACCUGAUGUCAAAGAAUGAGACUGAACCCGAAAAACAGGUCACCUCACCUGCUGUGUGGCCCUUUCACCCUGCUGUAGCAGUAAUGUACACGUGUAUGCCUUGGGCAAACACACAGUGAUGUGCUGCAACUCCUGCACACUUUAAACUGGUUGUGUAUAUUAGCAUAUCUCAUAUACAAAUGAUAGAUGGAGUUUCUGCUAACAGAAAAUAUGUGAGUGUGUGAGUGUGUGUUUGUGGUGAGUACUAUGUACUACUGUACAUACACAGUGCAUAUGUGUGUCUGCACUGCAAAGGGAAAAGCUUGCCAUGCGUGCUUGUUCAUUUGGGUUUUUGUGAUAUUCUGUCUGUUCUUUUUUUAAGGCUGUUUAAUAGUAGCUUUUGUGGUCAUGCUGAUGUGUGUGUGUGUGUGUCAGAGAGUAUAGUGUAAAAUGCAGGUGCAGGAUUGACUGGAAAAGUGGAAGUGGAGGGCAGAUAAUCCCAGGAUUAAGAAAUAAGCUUGGUUCGUGUGUGUGUGUACGUGUGUGUGUGUGUGUGUGUGUGUGUGUGGCAGGGUUUACCCAUCGCAGUAUCAAGCCUAGAACAUACCACCUGACCAGCUUGAAAUAAGCCUCCAGCAUGGUCUGGUCCAGGCCACACACAGCUAUGGGGAUGAGGAGCCAAUUUUUAGACACUUCAACACUCAAUUUCUAUCAGUAGAACUAGGAAAGGAAAUAUAAUAUCUUCUAUUUUUUGGCUUCUCAAGAUCACACCCCUAGGUGAUGGACCAAUGUCCCAUUCCGAGUGAAUUCUCUCACACUGUUUUCAUACUAGGCUCUUUCAUCCACCGUGAGCCUGACCAGGAUAAAGAGUAGGAUAAAGUGGUUAUGAAUCAAUGAAUAAAUAACUUUCUUGCUGACGUUAGUAUGUGCUAAUGGAUGGAAAUAAUUUGGGAAUUACCAGUACUAAUGCAACACAGUAGACAAGUUGUUUCAAGAAAAGAGUAAAGCGAUCGAUUUUAAAAUGUAUUAAUCAGCAUGACACAGUGAGGCAAUAGAGUCCCUGGUUCAAGCCAGAGCUUGGGUUACAGUCUGUUUGGAGUUUCUGUGCAUGUUCCUCCCAUGUCUGUAUUGGUUUUUAACUGGGUUCUUCAGUUUCCUCCCACUUCCCAAAGGCUACUUUAAAUUACUCCAAGUUGUGACUGUGUGUGUGUGUGUGUCUGCUUGGUGCCCAAUGAUGGUGUGGCAUCACAUCCUAUCCAGAAUAUAUUCCAACUUCAUGCACAGUAUUCUUGGGAUAGACUCAAGAUCCACCGCAAUCCUGACCAGGACAUUGAAGAUGAAUGAAUUUAGAUGAUUAAUAAGAAAUUUGAAACGGCUGGCUCUGUGUUUUGGCAGUUGGUGAGAGUAAGCUGGAUAGAGUAUUUUAGGACAGUUAGUCUUUAUAAAGUAUCAGUUUUCCAAUUAAUGUUUCCUGACAAAUGCUAAAAUAAUUGACAUGAUCUGUUCUUAUAGAUGUUUCUAACUGCUUCUGCUUUUCCCCCAUGGUUGGAGCAGCUGCACUCCUUUGGCAUAAAGUUUACGACAGAACCCGGGUUAAACACUUAAGCGCAAGUCACUUGUGCUCAUGACGCAUGACAUGAACAAAUAUGUCUAAGAGUUUGGCUCAGUGAGAGAGGGCUCACUGCUGACACCGAGGACAAAUUAGUUCCUAAAAGAGGAGGAUGAAAGCGGUUUAGCUACACAAGGUCAGACUCCCAAAAACUUACCUGAAGCAUUUGUGAAUUGUAAAAUGUAUGACAGAAAAAGCAAGAAGUCACUUGAUACUGCUGAAGCAACUACACUGGAAAUGCAGUAUGUUUUGAGGUAAAUCUCAAACCAUUUUUAUAAUUUUGAUAGAAAAUGAAGCCAAAAUUUUCCCAAAUGAUGCUUGAAGCUCACUUGGAUUAAAGCACUUGAGUAAAAAUAUUUGCAGCCUUAUU